CAGCUUUACCUCUGCGCUGUUUGAUUUGAUGCAUAUCAGCAUCCAGCACUUCAUCACAGCAUGGGGUCCAAAUCAACUAUCAAGAACCUGAAGUAGAACACGCUUUCUCCAGUUUUCUGUCAACCUACUCCAGCCAAAGCUAAUUGGAUAGUGCUGGUACUGGGAAAUAUCGGGAUACCGGAUCAUUCAUUGUUUGGGAGGAGCACGGUGAAGCCCUGCUGGGAUUCUUGGAAAGGCAAUGCAAGGAAGCAGAGAAGAAAGGAGGAUGAUUCCCUAGUCCCAGGGUGUACUAUGGAUCCUGCUACAGCCUGCAGCUGUACCACUGGCUCUAGACUGUGAUCUUGUCUGAUCUCCAGCUCAGCUGUGCCAGAUCAGGAAAGAAUGGGAGUUUUACGCCCUAGCUGUCAAGCUGAGUGUCCUCCCUCAUUGUUCU